rnacentral:lncRNA from 1 species
GUGGUUAUAGUUGUAAGAGAAUGAUCCUUAUUAGGAUCAAAAUCUAAAAUGAACAUACAUCAUAAUUCUUGUUUACUAAGAACAGUUGUGACAAUCUUUUUUCCUUGGAGUGCCCAAGUGAGGCUGACAUUCUUGAACCAAACACCAUCCCUAGAUGAAGUGUCUCCUCUCCGUUCGUAAAUAGAGUAGAUAAUCGAAUUUCCACAACCAACGGAAAGAUUUAAGCAAAGAAUUGUUAUAGUGCACAUCUCGACAACUUAAUUAGCCUGAUACAACUUCAGUUGAAGUUAUACAGAUGAAGCAAAAGCACAAUUAAAUAAGUAGGUCCAAUCCAGUUCCUAUGUUUUAGUACAAUGAGUGUUGUGGGG